rnacentral:misc_RNA from 1 species
GUUGAAGCAGAGAGGCAAAGGCGUGAGAAGCUAAACCAGAGGUUUUAUGCUUUAAGAGCAGUUGUUCCGAAUAUCUCAAAGAUGGAUAAAGCAUCGCUGCUUGGAGAUGCAAUUGCUUAUAUCACAGAUCUCCAGGCAAGAAUUAGGGUUUUAGAUGCUGAGAAGGAGAUGGUAGGCGACAAGCAAAAGCAGCAGGUUAUCCUGGAGAUUGAUUUUCAUCAAAGACAAGAUGAUGCAGUUGUAAGAGUAGGCUGCCCUUUGAAUGCUCACCCUGUUUCUAGAGUUUUGAAGACAUUUCAGGAACAUCAAGUGGUGGCACAAGAAUCCAAUGUCUCAUUAACAGAAAACGGCGAACUUGUACACAUGUUCUCUAUACGAGCUCCUGGCCCUGCUGCUGAGGAUUUGAAGGAAAAGCUGACAGCUGCUCUGUCUAAAUGAUUUAGAUGUUCAGAGAAUAAGGUCUAAUCAUGCAAUGUAUGUUGACUGUAGUUAAAUGCUAGCCGUUUUGCUUUAAAGACCCGGUGGUCAGUAUCAGUGAUCAGAUUGUUAUGCUUUGCUCGAUUAUUCGUGUAUGAGCAUCAAUGUCUAGCUGGUAAGUUUGCAUUAUAUUUUGUUGACUAUACAAUCUAAAUGUAAGUUUUGGCCGAGAAUGGUAUCUGCUUUUAGAAUUAGA